rnacentral:rRNA from 1 species
UACGGGAGGCAGCAGUGAGGAAUAUUGGACAAUGGGCGCAAGCCUGAUCCAGCCAUGCCGCGUGCAGGAAGACGGUCCUAUGGAUUGUAAACUGCUUUUAUACAGGAAGAAACACUGGUUCGUGAACCAGCUUGACGGUACUGUAAGAAUAAGGAUCGGCUAACUCCGUGCCAGCAGCCGCGGUA